AUUGAACGCUGGCGGAAUGCUUUACAAAUGCAAGUCGAACGGUAGAGGGGGCAACCCCUCGAGAGUGGCGAACGGGUGAGUAAUAUAUCGGAACGUGCCCAGUCGUGGGGGAUAACGUAGCGAACGUUACGCUAAUACCGCAUACGAUCUAAGGAUGAAAGCGGGGGAUCGCAAGACCUCGCGCGAUUGGAGCGGCCGAUAACAGAUUAGGUAGUUGGUGGGGUAAAGCAUCACCAAGCCAACGAUCUGUAGCUGGUCGGAGAGGACGACCAGCCACACUGGAACUGAGACACGGCCCAGACACCUACGGGAGGCAUAAGUGGGUAAUUUUGCACAAUGGACGCAAGUCUGAUCCAGCCAUUCCGUGUGCAGGGUGAAGGCCCUCGGGUUGUAAACUGCUUUUGUACGGAACGACAAGGUCUCUCUUAAUACCUGGGACUCAUGACGGUACCGUAAGAAUAAGCACCGGCUAACUACGUGCCAGCCGCCGCCGUAA
rnacentral:rRNA from 1 species